rnacentral:rRNA from 1 species
GGAAAUUGACCUUUGAGCUGGCGGCAGGCCUAACACAUGCAAGUCGAGCGGUAACACAAGGGAGCUUGCUCCUGAGGUGACGAGCGGCGGACGGGUGAGUAAUGCCUAGGGAUCUGCCCAGUCGAGGGGGAUAACAGUUGGAAACGACUGCUAAUACCGCAUACGCCCUACGGGGGAAAGGAGGGGACCUUCGGGCCUUCCGCGAUUGGAUGAACCUAGGUGGGAUUAGCUAGUUGGUGAGGUAAUGGCUCACCAAGGCGACGAUCCCUAGCUGUUCUGAGAGGAUGAUCAGCCACACUGGGACUGAGACACGGCCCAGACUCCUACGGGAGGCAGCAGUGGGGAAUAUUGCACAAUGGGGGAAACCCUGAUGCAGCCAUGCCGCGUGUGUGAAGAAGGCCUUCGGGUUGUAAAGCACUUUCAGUAGGGAGGAAAGGUAAUAGUUUAAUAAACUAUUACUGUGACGUUACCUACAGAAGAAGGACCGGCUAACUCCGUGCCAGCAGCCGCGGUAAUACGGAGGGUCCGAGCGUUAAUCGGAAUUACUGGGCGUAAAGCGUGCGCAGGCGGUUUGUUAAGCCAGAUGUGAAAUCCCCGGGCUCAACC